rnacentral:antisense_RNA from 1 species
CUUGACCGCGCCGAGCAGCAGUGGCCGCUCGCGGUCCUGGCCGUAGGUGGCCAGCAGCGCCUGCGCCUC